rnacentral:tRNA from 1 species
AGCAUCUUAGCUCAGUCGGUUAGAGCAGCACCCUUAUAAGGUGAAGGUCCCCAGUUCAAGCCUGGGAGAUGCUACCA